CUUGCUCCCGGAUGUUAGCGGCGGACGGGUGAGUAACACGUGGGUAACCUGCCUGUAAGACUGGGAUAACUCCGGGAAACCGGAGCUAAUACCGGAUAGUUCCUUGAACCGCAUGGUUCAAGGAUGAAAGACGGUUUCGGCUGUCACUUACAGAUGGACCCGCGGCGCAUUAGCUAGUUGGUGGGGUAAUGGCUCACCAAGGCGACGAUGCGUAGCCGACCUGAGAGGGUGAUCGGCCACACUGGGACUGAGACACGGCCCAGACUCCUACGGGAGGCASCAGUAGGGAAUCUUCCGCAAUGGACGAAAGUCUGACGGAGCAACGCCGCGUGAGUGAUGAAGGUUUUCGGAUCGYAAAGCUCUGUUGUUAGGGAAGAACAAGUGCGAGAGUAACUGCUCGCACCUUGWGGGUACCYAACCAGAAAGCCACGGCUAACUACGUGCCAGCAGCCGCGGUAAUACGUAGGUGGCAAGCGUUGUCCGGAAUUAUUGGGCGUAAAGGGCUCGCAGGCGGUUUCUUUAGUCUGAUGUGAAAGUUUYGGCUCAACCGGGGAGGGUCAUUGGAAACUGGGAAACUUGAGUGCASAAGAGGAGAGUGGAA
rnacentral:rRNA from 1 species